UGCAUUGAUAGCUCUGUGGCAGAGUGGUGGUGCGUUGACCCAUUGCGGCCCGGGUUCGAGCCCCGGUCUUGCAG